UCUGUUGGUGUUGGGUUAUAAAAGGGGCUACGACCCCAACAAACUUGUCUCAGCUUCACCCCCCUGAGUCUGUGCCUCAAUACACCACAGGAUGACAGUGAUUUUUCACAUCUAAAGCUGCAUGAAGUUAACACAAUAGAUACAAGUGAAAGGGUACGGAAAAGGGAAAAAUCUGUUGCACCAAAAUUGUAAUUGACAUAAAAAUUGACAUGUUAUCAGAUAGAAGAAUCCAUAUAAGCAAGACUUCAUACCUGCCUCAGCUGAGAGAAAACUCAAAAACUGUAGGUCAAACAUCAAGAUGAUCUAAGUAAAAACUUGCAUGGCAAAGGACUGGAGCAGAAAACAGAAGUCUACCAGACUUUUCAUUCAAGAAUGUAAAAUUCACCAAAGCCUAAAAACCUGAGGAUGCUGCUUCCCAAAAGUCAGUGCUGAGCACCAGUGAAAAGUGGGGACAAGAAUAUCGUCCAAGAUCAGUUCCUAACAACGAAGGAAACAGAUCUUCUCUCUCAUGUCCGAAUGCCUCAGUACUAUAAAGCUCCUAUUGUUACCAUCAAGAAACCUGGAUGUGCAAGUGGAAUUCUAAACUGAACCAUAGGAGAAAAUGACCCUCUUAGAUUUGAUAAAAAUAUGGUUUCUUUCAAAGCUGGAAAGCAGAUUUGCAGAAAAGGACCUCAACUUUCAUAUGGAUACCAAGCUGAACAUAAGCCAAAAACAUGCCCUGGGGACAAAGGAGGCCAACAAUAUCCCAGCUGCAUUAGAAGUGCUGCCAGCAGGUCUCAGGAGGUGAUCCCGCCCCUCUUCUCAGCACUAGUGAGGCCAGAUCUGGAGAGCUGUGUCCAGUGUUGGGCUCCCAAAUAAUGAAAAACAUGGAGCUCCCGGAGUGGGUCCAGCAGAGUGCAACAAAAAUGAUUAAGGGACUGAAGCAUCUGUCAUAUGAGGGAAAGCUGAGGGAGCUGGGGCUGCUCAGCCUCAAGAAAAAAAGACUCGUGGGUAUCUUAUCAGUGUAUACAAAUACCUGAAGGGAGGGUGCAAAGAGGAUGGAGACAGGCUCUUUUCAGAGGUGCCCAGUCAGAGGACCAGAGGCAACGGGCACAAACUGAAACACAGGAGGUUCCAUUUGAACAUCAGCAACCACUUUUUCACUGCGAGGAUGCCUGAGCACUGGCCAGGUUGUCCAGAGAAGUUGUGGUGUCUCCAUACUUGGAGAGUUUCAAAAGAUAUCUGGACAGAGUCCUGGGUAAUCUGCUUUAGGAGGCCCUUCCUUGAGCAGCAGGUGUGGACAAGAUGAACUCCAGAGGUGCCUUCCAAGAUCAAUUAUUAUUUUGUUUUUUAAAUUUAAUAUCAUAUUUCAAAGCACAGCAAUUUCAAUAAAAUACAAUUUCAUAAAUAUAACCAAUAUGGGUUAAUUUAUGAGAAUUCAUGAUACUUCGAAGCAAGAGUUGUCACUGCGCACAACUGCUAUUUAAACACUUCUGACAAGGGGGAAAAAAAAAAGGUGUUCUGAAAAAUCGUGACACACUCUGCUAUGAGAUUACACUAUCUUUGCUGGCAUGCAAGUAACAGCUCCAGGCUGAUCUGCAAAUGUGAAACGGUCAUGGAUCAAGGUUCUUUACCUUUGACUGGCACUUUACACACGUACUUUAACCCUUCCAACUUCUGGUGCAAUAUCCUUCUGUGUUUGUAGCCUUACCCAAAGAGCAUACAUGAAUCACACUUGGCUUUUUAUGGUUCUUAUUAUCCAAAAAGCUUAGCAGAAGAUUUAUGAUUCUCAGCUAGAGAAGUGCUCAGGAGUACAUAAUACCAAACCAUUUAGCUAAAGUCUGUUUUACUUGCAGAUAGCCUUUUUUGAGUAUUGACUCAAUUUAGAAAAACAAAAUAAUGUCACCAGUAUCACAUGAGUGUAUCAGUGCACCGCUGAUGUUAUAAACCCCUUGUUACUAAAGGUUUAGAGAAUGAGUGCCACCAGCACAAAACAUUAAUGACUUGGCUAAAGCAAAAGAGAUGCAAAUAUAACACAAGUACUAAAGAAGACAUAUUUUACAUCAAGAAAACAUAUGACAGCACAUAUUUUUUAACAAAGAGGAAAUUGCUGUAAUAGCAGCUACGUGAGGCUCUGCCUAACGUGACUAUUACCUUUCUCCUCUCAAAAUUAUACCAGCAAAUCAGAGUAUACACCAAACUCUUACACUGGUAGAACUCAAAACUUGGCAGAUUUUCUCCUUUAAAAAAAGAGGCAAAAGGUACUCUUCAGAGUAAACAGCAACCAUACAUGGCCACUAUGCCUAGGAAGUUUAUUUCUGUGAGGAGUUUAGCAAGCAAAGACAAGUAUUUCCAGGGAGAAUUACAUACAAGUGCUGUUACAUUUAGGAUAUUGAUACCUACACUGAUUUACUGAAGAGCUUUGGAUUUUGCCAAAAAACCGGAAUGAAGCAUUACUGCUCAAACAAAAAAAAACAACCCCAAACCGAAAAUAACAACAGCAACAAAAAAAAUCUUACAGAAACCUGAACUACCAAGCAAAAUGGCUUGAAACCAAAGUCAUAAAAGGGAAAAGCUACAUGGGAAACUGUAUUACAUAAGGAGGGGAUAACUGGUAUCCUGAAAGAGCCUGAAGUACAUGAUUACAAUUAUUAUUUAGCAGAAGAGGCUUAUUAAAUAAGGGAUUAGACAGUGUACCUACAAUUCAAAAGGGAAAAUGAGAUACAAAUGAACAAGUGUCCAGAACAGGAAACUGUCAGAACAGUAUACUGCUCUCAUGAAGUAUUCUCUUGGACACAACAUCAGAAUAAAAAAAAAAUAAAAUUAAAAAAUAGGAAUGGAGCUCUAAUGCUCCUAUUUUAAUACAGACAAUUUAAGAUUUGUGACCAUGUAAAGUAAUCAAUGCUGCAAGGAAGAAUGGCUACUGCUGUAAGCACUUUUGCAAAGCACAAGAGGACAUGAAGAAUGGAGAAGCUGUUAAGAUGAUCUGAAAACCAUCAAAAUUACAUACAAAGUAGGUAUUUGACAUUUCUGUGAACAACAUUUUAGCUCUGCUCCCCAGCAUCUUUUCUUGUUUAAUAAUUGUAGCUAGUUUCUGUUAGUUCUGUAUGUUAUCGAUGAGCGUGUGUUAAAUGAAGUAAUAUUUUAGCAGACUAAAGAUGACAACGCAUAUUUGGAUUCCAUCUCUUUUAGAGAAACUGCAGUUUUCCUAAUAGAAUGGAUUCUGUAACACCAUCUGGUGUUACAGAAAAUGGCAUCUGAUAUAAAAUACAAAAUCAAAUAAAAAACCCAAACAAUCUUAUUUUUCUUUCUACCCUUCCCCACAGAAGUUAAAAAGAAUCAAAGUAACAUUUAAAGAUUGGUCUACAGGUUUUGGACAUGUAUAGCAGAACCACAUAAAUAGCAUACUUCCCACAGCUGCUUGCUUUACAACAGAGGACUGCUGAUAUGAAGGACUCCUGGAUUAAAUUCCAUCCAAUUUUAGACAGAUAACUUAUAAAUAAUUUGAGUACUCAGAUCCUGGUACUCCUGUGCCCCCCAAGUUUAAUGGGCUUCCUCCAGAAAACCCUGAUUUUGUCUCAUUUUUAAAAGCUGACAGCCAUAAGUUUCUUACCAAGCUCUUGGGUACUGAUGCCAUAUAUUAAUUUUGAUUUGCUUACCAUGGAAACACAUAGACAAAGAUGAAAGAGUCCAGAAAUAAAA